rnacentral:tRNA from 17 species
GGUGAGGUGGCUGAGUGGCUGAAGGCGCACGCCUGGAAAGUGUGUUUAGGUUAAUCCCUAACGAGGGUUCGAAUCCCUCCCUCACCGCCA